GAAAUGCGAUAAGUAAUGUGAAUUGCAGAAUUCCGUGAAUCAUCGAAUCUUUGAACGCACAUUGCGCCCUCUGGCAUUCCGGGGGGCAUGCCUGUCCGAGCGUCAUUACGCACCCUCAAGCCCGGCUUGUGUGAUGGGCCCCGGCGUCUCGUUCGCGAGACGGGCCCGAAAGGCAGCGGCGGCGUCGACCCGAUGAGCCCGAGCGUAUGGCGACUUCUGUCACACGUUCGCGGUGCGGACCGGCGCCUGCUUGACUUUUCUGAUUAUCCAGGUUGACCUCGGAUCAGGUAGGGAUACCCGCUGAACUUAAGC
rnacentral:misc_RNA from 1 species